rnacentral:lncRNA from 1 species
GGUUUGCACCCAGUUCAACAAAAUAGCUGUGGUAGCUCGCAAGUUGUGAUAUCCCUGUCCGGCCUACGUAGUCCACCAUGUUAGUUCUGGAUUGUAGGACUUAGGGGUAGGCACGAUCAUCCCCCUUCUCAUCCCUUUUUGGGGUGGUGUGUCUCAGGCACCCGAAGUGAACUCUCGUGAGUAUGUCUGAUCAGCUUGAUUCAUCGGAAUAGCUAGUUUCACUCUAGAAGUACCCUCUCUACCCUUCUGCUUCACUACC